rnacentral:rRNA from 1 species
AACCUGGUUGAUCCUGCCAGUAGCCAUAUGCUUGUCUGAAACAUUAAGCCAUGCGUGUUUCAGUAUAAGCUUUUACAUGGCGAAACUGCGAAUUGUUCAUUAAAGCAGUUAUCGUUUAUCUGAAGGUCAGUCAUUACAUGGAUAACCGUCGUAAUUCUAGAAGUAAUGCAUGCGCCCAGGUCCGACUUCGUGGACGGGUUGCGUUUAAUACGUACUGAACCAACCCGGGCUCUGCCUGGUCUUUUAGGUGAUUCAUGAUAACCGAACGAGAUCGCGUAGCAACCAUUGGCGCUAAGGAAGGCAGCAGGCGCGCAAAUUACCCAAUCCUAACACACAGAGGUAGUGACAAGAAAUAACAAUACAGGGCAUCCAUGUCUUGUACCUUGAAAAUGAGUAGAAUUGAAAUCCCUCUAUGAGUAUCUAUUGGAAGGCAAGUCUGGUGCCAGCAGCCGCGGUACAACAGCGCGUAUCA